GAUGAACGCUAGCUACAGGCUUAACACAUGCAAGUCGAGGGGAAACGACAUCGAAAGCUUGCUUUUGAUGGGCGUCGACCGGCGCACGGGUGAGUAACGCGUAUCCAACCUGCCCAUCACUUGGGAAUAACCUUGCGAAAGUAAGACUAAUACCCAAUGAUAUCCCACGAAGGCAUCGGAAUGGGAUUAAAGAUUUAUCGGUGAUGGAUGGGGAUGCGUCUGAUUAGCUUGUUGGCGGGGUAACGGCCCACCAAGGCAACGAUCAGUAGGGGUUCUGAGAGGAAGGUCCCCCACAUUGGAACUGAGACACGGUCCAAACUGCUACGGGAGGCAGCAGUGAGGAAUAUUGGGCAAUGGGCGAGAGCCUGAACCAGCCAAGUAGCGUGCAGGAAGACGGCCCUAUGGGUUGUAAACUGCUUUUAUAAGGGAAUAAAGUGGGUCACGUGUGACUUUUUGCAUGUACCUUAUGAAUAAGGACCGGCUAAUUCCGUG
rnacentral:rRNA from 1 species